UUCAAAGAACUUGAGUUAAUGGUUUGUCU
rnacentral:piRNA from 1 species